rnacentral:rRNA from 1 species
UCUUGGACAAUGGGGGAAACCCUGAUCCAGCCAUGCCGCGUGAGCGAUGAAGGCCUUAGGGUUGUAAAGCUCUUUCAGCUGGGAAGAUAAUGACGGUACCAGCAGAAGAAGCCCCGGCUAACUCCGUGCCAGCAGCCGCGGUAAUACGGAGGGGGCUAGCGUUGUUCGGAAUUACUGGGCGUAAAGCGCGCGUAGGCGGGCAUUUAAGUCGGGGGGGAAAUCCCGGGGCUCAACCCCGGAACUGCCCUCGAUACUGGGUGCCUAGAGGUCGAGAGAGGUGAGUGGAAUGGCGAGUGUAGAGGUGAAAUUCGUAGAUAUUCGCCGGAACACCAGUGGCGAAGGCGGCUCACUGGCUCGAUACUGACGCUGAGGUGCGAAAGCGUGGGGAGCAAACA